AUUGAACGCUGGCGGCAGGCCUAACACAUGCCAGUCGGGCGGCUGCAGGGAGCUUGCUCGUUGAUUCAGCGGCGGACGGGUGAGUAAUGCCUAGGAAUCUGCCUGUUUGUGGGGGCUUACGUCCGGACGCGGGCGCUAAUACCCCAUUCGUCCUGAGGGCGAACGUGGGGGAUCUUCGGACCUUCCGCUCUCAGAUGAGUCUAGGUCGGAUUAGCUAGUUGGUGGGGUAAAGGCCUACCAAGGCGACGAUCCGUAGCUGGUCUGAGAGGAUGAUCAGCCACACUGGAACUGAGACACGGUCCAGACUCCUACGGGAGGCAGCAGUGGGGAAUAUUGGACAAUGGGCGAAAGCCUGAUCCAGCCAUGCCGCGUGGGUGAAGAAGGUCUUCGGAUUGUAAAGCACUUUUAGUGGGGAGGAAGGGCAGUAAGUUAAUACCUUGCUGUUUUGACGGUACCAACAGAAUAAGCACCGGCUAACUUCGUG
rnacentral:rRNA from 1 species